rnacentral:rRNA from 1 species
AUUGAACGCUGGCGGCAGGCCUAACACAUGCAAGUCGAGCGGCAGCGGGACCUUCGGGUUGCCGGCGAGCGGCGGACGGGUGAGUAAUGCCUAGGAAUCUGCCUGUUAGUGGGGGAUAACGCAGGGAAACUCGCGCUAAUACCGCAUACGUCCUACGGGAGAAAGGGGGGGACCUUCGGGCCUCACGCUAACAGAUGAGCCUAGGUCGGAUUAGCUAGUUGGUGGGGUAACGGCCCACCAAGGCGACGAUCCGUAACUGGUCUGAGAGGAUGAUCAGUCACACUGGAACUGAGACACGGUCCAGACUCCUACGGGAGGCAGCAGUGGGGAAUAUUGGACAAUGGGCGAAAGCCUGAUCCUGCCAUGCCGCGUGUGUGAAGAAGGUCUUCGGAUCGUAAAGCACUUUAAGCCGGGAGGAAGGGCUGUAGGCGAAUACCCUGCAGUCUUGACGUUACCGGCAGAAUAAGCACCGGCUAACUUCGUGCCAGCCGCCGCUGUAAAAC